rnacentral:rRNA from 1 species
AGCCAUGCAUGUCUCAGUACUUGCUUUUACAAGGCGAAACCGCGAAUGGCUCAUUAAAUCAGUUAUGGUUCACUAGAUCGUAAAUUUUACACGGAUAACUGUGGUAAUUCUAGAGCUAAUACGUGCAACCAGCUCGCUUCCUUGUGGAGCGAGCGCAGUUAUUAGAACAAGACCAAUCCGGCCUUCGGGUCGGUACAUUUGGUGACUCUGAAUAACCGAAGCGGAGCGCAUGGUCUCGUACCGGCGCCAGAUCUUUCAAGUGUCUGACUUAUCAGCUUGUUGUUAGGUUAUGUUCCUAACAAGGCUUCAACGGGUAACGGGGUAUCAGGGUCCGAUACCGGAGAGGGAGCCUGAGAAACGGCUACCACAUCCAAGGAAGGCAGCAGGCGCGCAAAUUACCCACUCCUAGCACAGGGAGGUAGUGACGAAA